UACGAAGGGUGCAAGCGUUACUCGGAAUUACUGGGCGUAAAGCGCACGUAGGCGGCUUUGUAAGUUAGAGGUGAAAGCCCGGAGCUCAACUCCGGAAUUGCCUUUAAGACUGCAUCGCUAGAAUUGUGGAGAGGUGAGUGGAAUUCCGAGUGUAGAGGUGAAAUUCGUAGAUAUUCGGAGGAACACCAGUGGCGAAGGCGGCUCACUGGUCCAUUACUGACGCUGAGGUGCGAAAGCGUGGGGAGCAAACAGG
rnacentral:rRNA from 1 species